rnacentral:tRNA from 1 species
GGUGUCUGUAGCUCAGUGGCAGAGCGCCGGAUUGUGGUUCCGGUGACGAGGGUUCGAUUCCCCCAGACGCCC